UCCUACGGGGCGCAGCAGUGGGGGAUAUUGCACAAUGGGGGGAACCCUGAUGCAGCGACGCCGCGUGGGUGAAGAAGCGCCUCGGCGCGUAAAGCCCUGUCAGCAGGGAAGAAAAUGACGGUACCUGGAGAAGAAGCCCCGGCUAACUACGUGCCAGCAGCCGCGGUAAUACGUAGGGGGCAAGCGUUAUCCGGAUUUACUGGGUGUAAAGGAGGCGCAGACGGCGAUGCAAGCCAGGAGUGAAAGCCCGGGGCCCAACCCCGGGACUGCUCUUGGAACUGCAUGGCUGGAGUACAGGAGGGGCG
rnacentral:rRNA from 1 species